AGAAGCAACCACACUCUUAUAGGUUGGUCACAUGAUUUCUAUUUUUAUGAACAAACAAGAUGGCAGCAAGAAAAGAGGCUAAUAUUCUUAGAGGUUUCUCAGCAAGGUUGACUAAAGCCAUUGAUACAGCUACUGGAAGUCUCCCUGCUUUGUUCUCUGCUCAUUUGAUUGCCAAUGGCUUCAUAUCAGAGCAGGGUGCAAAAAAUAUUAUACAAGUUACUGCAAACCCUCCAUUCGCAAUGAUUAGCCAACUUAUGAUGACUGUAUUAGAACAAGUUAAAGCAGCUGCUAGUGAUCAAGAAGCACAGAGGCUCUUUAGGCUUUUCCUUGUUAUUCUUCGUGAGCUAGAAGUGAGGGAUUUGCCAGAUGAAAUGGAUAAAAGUUAUCAAGGAGAGGAGGAACAAGAAGCUGGCAUCAAAGCACCCCCGAGAGAUGAUAAUCCUGAAGAUCAAGUUCAAUAUGGGUUGCAAGAAGAAAAUAGAGAUCAAGAAGACAGUCUUGGCAUCAACUAAAUGUAGCGAUGUAUUGUUCUAUAAUAGUGAAUACAGAUAUUUGAGAUGGUAGCGUAAUAGUUACGAAUGUUAGUCAAGUAUGAGGAUUACGUUUAUUUUUAUAAUUUUGUUCAUCUGAUUACUCGCAAGGGCUACCAUAAGUACCUAUUAUUGUUA